GGGCCCGUAGCCUAGCCGGACAGGGCGCCGGCCUUCUAAGCCGGAGAUCGUGGGUUCGAAUCCCGCCGGGUCCGCCA
rnacentral:tRNA from 1 species